CCUUACACGACCGUACCGCAAACCGACACUGGUGCGCGAGAUGAGUAUUCUAAGGCGCUUGAGAGAACUCAGGAGAAGGAACUCGGCAAAUUGACACCGUAACUUCGGAAGAAGGUGUGCCUUUAGUAGGUGAAGGGAUUUACUCCUAGAGCCCAAUGAGGUUGCAAAAAAUCGGUGGCUGCGACUGUUUAUUAAAAACACAGCACUCUGCAAACACGAAAGUGGACGUAUAGGGUGUGACGCCUGCCCGGUGCUGGAAGAUUAAAUGAUGGGGUGCAAGCUCUUGAUUGAAGUCCCGGUAAACGGCGGCCGUAACAAUAACGGUCCUAAGGUAGCGAAAUUCCUUGUCGGGUAAGUUCCGACCUGCACGAAUGGCGUAACGAUGGCCACACUGUCUCCUCCUGAGACUCAGCGAAGUUGAAAUGUUUGUGAUGAUGCAAUCUCCCCGCGGAAAGACGGAAAGACCCCAUGAACCUUUACUGUAGCUUUGUAUUGGACUUUGAACAGAUCUGUGUAGGAUAGGUGGGAGGCUUUGAAGUAGGGUCGCUAGAUCUUAUGGAGCCAACGUUGAAAUACCACCCUGGUGUGUUUGAGGUUCUAACCUAGGUCCAUUAUCUGGAUCGGGGACAGUGCAUGGUAGGCAGUUUGACUGGGGCGGUCUCCUCCCAAAGCGUAACGGAGGAGUUCGAAGGUACGCUAGUUACGGUCGGACAUCGUGACGAUAGUGCAAUGGCAUAAGCGUGCUUAACUGCGAGACUGACAAGUCGAGCAGAUGCGAAAGCAGGACAUAGUGAUCCGGUGGUUCUGUAUGGAAGGGCCAUCGCUCAACGGAUAAAAGGUACUCUGGGGAUAACAGGCUGAUACCGCCCAAGAGUUCAUAUCGACGGCGGUGUUUGGCACCUCGAUGUCGGCUCAUCUCAUCCUGGGGCUGUAGCCGGUCCCAAGGGUAUGGCUGUUCGCCAUUUAAAGAGGUACGUGAGCUGGGUUUAAAACGUCGUGAGACAGUUUGGUCCCUAUCUUCCGUGGGCGCUGCAGAUUUGAGGAAGCCUGCUCCUAGUACGAGAGGACCGGAGUGGACACACCUCUGGUGUAUCGGUUGUCACGCCAGUGGCAUUGCCGAGUAGCUAAGUGUGGAAGAGAUAACCGCUGAAAGCAUCUAAGCGGGAAACUCGUUUCAAGAUGAGAUCUGCCGGGGCCUUGAGCCCCCUAAAGAGUCGUUCAAGACCAGGACGUUGAUAGGUCGGGUGUGGAAGCGCAGUAAUGCGUUAAGCUAACCGAUACUAAUUGCUCGUGCGGCUUGAUC
rnacentral:rRNA from 1 species